AGUGAAAGUCAUCUACGACGUCGAUGGAGUACCCACACAAGUUACUUGAAUCAUGCAGACACGGGUCUCGCGUUCAGAUUCGAAUGUUCUACAGGCCCUGGCAAAUUGGGUCUAUAGCUCAGUUGGUUAGAGCGCACCCCUGAUAAGGGUGAGGUCGGUGGUUCAAAUCCACCUAGACCCACCAAUUUUGCACUGCUCGGCGUAGAAAGGCCGGAUAGUGGGGAGCAGGUUUUGGGGCCAUAGCUCAGCUGGGAGAGCGCCUGCCUUGCACGCAGGAGGUCGGCGGUUCGAUCCCGCCUGGCUCCACCAUAUUCAUAGUGUCAACUGACAAGCAAGCAAUGCUUGUCACUUUACAUUAGUGAAGUGUUUGCUCUUUAAAAAUUAGGUUUAAUCGAGAAAACAAGCGCUUUGGUGUAAUUACCAAAAAACGUUACAAGCAUUCGCUUAACUUAAUAACUCGAAAUAAUUGGGUUUAU
rnacentral:tRNA from 1 species